rnacentral:pre_miRNA from 1 species
ACAACAUUCGGACCGUCGGUCUAUCGCAAUAUCACCCGCUCGAUGGAAGAUUUUCCCUUCGUCGU